AUUGAACGCUGGCGGCAGGCCUAACACAUGCAAGUCGAGCGGGGUUUUCGGACCUAGCGGCGGACGGGUGAGUAAUGCGUAGGAAGCUACCCGAUAGAGGGGGAUACCAGUUGGAAACGACUGUUAAUACCGCAUAAUGUCUACGGACCAAAGUGUGGGACCUUCGGGCCACAUGCUAUCGGAUGCGCCUACGUGGGAUUAGCUAGUUGGUGGGGUAAUGGCUCACCAAGGCGACGAUCCCUAGCUGGUUUGAGAGGAUGAUCAGCCACACUGGAACUGAGACACGGUCCAGACUCCCACGGGAGGCAGCAGUGGGGAAUAUUGGACAAUGGGCGCAAGCCUGAUCCAGCCAUGCCGCGUGUGUGAAGAAGGCCUUCGGGUUGUAAAGCACUUUCAGUAGGGAGGAAGGGUGUUGUGUUAAUAGCACAGCAUUUUGACGUUACCUACAGAAGAAGCACCGGCUAACUCUGUGCCAGCAGCCGCGGUAAGAC
rnacentral:rRNA from 1 species